GAUGAACGCUAGCGAUAGGCUUAACACAUGCAAGUCGAGGGGCAGCAUGGUCUUAGCUUGCUAAGGCUGAUGGCGACCGGCGCACGGGUGCGUAACGCGUAUGCAACUUGCCUCACAGAGGGGGAUAACCCGUCGAAAGACGGACUAAUACCGCGUACACUCUAUGUUGGGCAUCCAAUGUAGAGGAAAUGAAAUUCGCUGUGAGAUAGGCAUGCGUCCCAUUAGCUAGCUGGUGAGGUAACGGCUCACCAAGGCGACGAUGGGUAGGGGAACUGAGAGGUUGAACCCCCACACUGGUACUGAGACACGGACCAGACUCCUACGGGAGGCAGCAGUGAGGAAUAGUGGUCAAUGGGCGAGGGCCUGAACCAGCCAAGUCGCGUGAAGGAUGACUGUCUUAUGGAUUGUAAACUUCUUUUAUACGGGAAUAACAAGAGUCACGUGUGGCUCCCUGCAUGUACCGUAUGAAUAAGCAUCGGCUAACUCCGUG
rnacentral:rRNA from 1 species